CACUGCUUCGCAGGAGAGGGAGCAUAACCAGGAGGACACGGCCGCACCCCUCAGCCCCGUCAGGUUCGCGGUGAAGGCCAUGGAAGCUUUGCUUCUAUGCGCUGGCUACAAGGAGCAGGUCACCUUCAUGAUGAAGCAGGGCGGCUGGGACCUGCUCAUGAGCUCUGACACGCACCACAAAGGUGUCUGCCUGCUUGCCCGGGCCAUGGUUUCGCUCAAUUUCCAGGAGCGAAACUGGAUUUUCUACCAUCUGAUGGCCAUCCUCAGCGAUCGGGACGA